UUCUAUAGCAAAACAACCAACAUUAUUUUGAAAAUAAUUUCUGAUAUUCCAACUAUUGUAUACUGAGCUUAUUCUACAUUUUUGCAGGUGGGCCCCACCUGGUAGGGCCCACUUCCACUCCGUCGAUAAUGUUCCUUUUGGUGUGACCCACCUGUGUUUUCGGUGGGGCCCACUUCCGGAUUGCGUUGGGCCCCACCGAAAACACAGGUGGGUCACACCAAAAGGAACAGCUGGAUUGGGGACGCCCAGCAUUAAAUCCUUCCGGAUUGCGUGUUGGGCCCCACUGUAACAUAGGGCCCAAAAUCCACUCAGUAAGGUGCGUCCCCCCAAUCCCAAAAAUCAGGACGAUCCACAAAACAGGUAGGUCACACCACAGGGAAAAGUUGGGAUGGGGAAGCCCACCAUUAAAACCUUCCAGAUUAUGUGCCGCACCACGAUGAACGGACAGCCCAAAAUCAAGCCAUUCCAAAACUCAGGUGGGCCACAACAGGUGAUUUUAGUGUCUUCAGACACGAUUUUUACAUGGCGUGGCCCACUUGAGGUUUGGGUCCUCCUUAUUUUUGGGCUCGGAGGAGAACAGGAGGGGGCCCACAUGAUGGACGGAGAGGAUAUCAUGAACACACUACAGUGGGGUUCACACAGAAUUGUAGAGGAACCAGCCUCAUAGAGAGACCGUCUCAGGUUAUGGGUGUAGGAGUCUCACCUCCAUUCCUGUUAGCCCGACGGUUCGGCAGGUGCACGGACGGUAGCUUCGCUGAUAUAGGCCGACGAACCCCAGCGUGUGAAACGCGACGGACCCCACGGCUCCUCCCCGUUCGAGUUGGCGAAGGCCGAAGGGAACGGUCUGGAUGACAGGGAAAAGUGGGAGAACAGAGAGAAAUAGACGGUUGAGAGAGGAGGAGUGGCGUUUGAUGACGGGAACUGAGAAAGAAAUGCAAGAACUGUCCCUGAGAGGGAGAGAGGGGGGACUUUAAAUCCACAUGCCUCGUUCGCCCUCCCGAUUUGGUUUUGAAUGCAUCGCGACUGAGAAUUUACAGCAUCCGUCGCCCAUUGGGGCCUACAUGUAGAGAUCGACCCAUGAUCCGAACCGUCAAUCUUUUGAUGUUCUACAAUCAUAUAACAUGGUGAUGAAUGUUAUCGCCCGUUCUGUGUAAUUUUUAUACAGUAGCCUUUAUGGAGUACGAUGCAGAAA